rnacentral:lncRNA from 1 species
GUGUAAUUAACUCUGGUUACUAUCUAUUACAUUAUAGGUUUUGUAACUAUAUCCCCCCUUUUUUCCCUUGCAACGUACCACAGACUUCAAAAGUAUUUCAUAUAAAAAAAGAAGAUGUGAUAUGAUUGCAAAUGAGACAACUCUCCAAAUGAGACCAAAUGAGACAUAAAACAAUUAUAGGUCCCGUACGGGUUUCAACAAUGAGUAAAAGUCAUACUGCAAAAUCCCCUAACCUCGGGACUGGAUUUGUAUGUACCAGUGCAACAAG